rnacentral:rRNA from 1 species
UACGUAGGGCGCAAGCGUUGUCCGGAAUUAUUGGGCGUAAAGAGCUCGUAGGCGGUUUGUCGCGUCUGCUGUGAAAACCUAAGGCUCAACCUUGGGCUUGCAGUGGGUACGGGCAGACUAGAGUGCGGUAGGGGUGACUGGAAUUCCUGGUGUAGCGGUGGAAUGCGCAGAUAUCACUUGGAACGCCAAUGGGGAAGCCAGCCCGCUGGGGGGGUCCGGACGCGGAGGCGCGAAAGCCAGGGGAGCGAACGGG